GCCGUCUGGCGGCAUCCGAGCAGCUGCCAGAUCUCCCCUGGAAACACCAGGGUGUGUGCUCGGUUCUGCUUGGUGGCCUCCAGUCUCUUGUCCUCAACGAGGGUUUUGGCAGCUCCCUCUCAGUGGCCUUAAGGAGAGUCGGUAGCUCAAGAAAUCUGCUGGCCGCUAAGCAGGGGUGAGGGGCACCGACUGCCAUCCCUUCUUCAACCACGGCCACUCAGCCACAUCAGUGUCUCCUGCCACCUCCCUCGUGUCCAGCAUCAACACAGC
rnacentral:lncRNA from 1 species